CAUGCUCUGGCGUAGUGGUAACGCGUCUCAAGUAUAUGGUCUAAAGCGCUCUCUUAGCUUGAGGUCGCGGGUUCGAACCACGCCGGUAUCA